rnacentral:rRNA from 1 species
UACGUAGGGCGCAAGCGUUGUCCGGAAUUAUUGGGCGUAAAGAGCUCGUAGGCGGUCUGUCGCGUCCGUUGUGAAAACUCGAGGCUCAACCUCGGGCUUGCAGUGGAUACGGGCAGACUAGAGUGCGGUAGGGGAGACUGGAAUUCCUGGUGUAGCGGUGGAAUGCGCAGAUAUCAGGAGGAACACCGACUGGCGAAGGCAGGUCU